rnacentral:rRNA from 1 species
UACGUAGGGUGCAAGCGUUAAUCGGAAUUACUGGGCGUAAAGCGUGCGCAGGCGGUUUUGUAAGUCUGUCGUGAAAUCCCCGGGCUCAACCUGGGAAUUGCGAUGGAGACUGCAAGGCUAGAAUCUGGCAGAGGGGGGUAGAAUUCCAGGUGUAGCGGUGAAAUGCGUAGAUAUCUGGAGGAAUACCGGUGGCGAAGGCGGCAUCCUGGACCGACAUUGACGCUGAACGGCGAAAGCUAGGGGAGCAAACGGG